rnacentral:misc_RNA from 1 species
GAUGAAGAACGCAGCGAAAUGCGAUAAGUAAUGUGAAUUGCAGAAUUCAGUGAAUCAUCGAAUCUUUGAACGCACAUUGCGCCCCCUGGUAUUCCGGGGGGCAUGCCUGUCCGAGCGUCAUUACAACCCUCAAGCUCAGCUUGGUAUUGGGCCCCGCCGACCCGGCGGGCCCUAAAGUCAGUGGCGGUGCCGUCCGGCUCCGAGCGUAGUAAUUCUUCUCGCUCUGGAGGUCCGGUCGUGUGCUCGCCAGCAACCCCCAAUUUUUUUCAGGUUGACCUCGGAUCAGGUAGGACUACCCGCUGAACUUAAGCAUAUCAAUAAGCGGAGGA